rnacentral:misc_RNA from 1 species
ACUGGUAAAGUAGUUCCUUUAGUCGAGUUCAUUGAGUGUAGAAAGAGUUUGUUCUGUUAAAGUAGUUCCUAGGAAAUGAUAUCAGUGCAAUCAAUUGUCACUUACGCACACAUACACAAUACAUAUCUGUAUUUAUCUGAAUUCGCUGAGAUGCAUGGUGAGGCUAAUGCAUUUACUAAUCACAGCAGGAAAAAAAAAUGUUCACUUCAAUAUUUUUAGGAGCAAAGAAUCUCUCAGGAAAGAGGAAUGGGAGAUUGCAAUGCAACUGACCAACUAGAGUUGGCACAAUUGAUAUGUAGGUAAUUGCAGGUGGAUAUGGGUUUAGCUGCUAUACCAAGCCUUCCUGGUAUCAAGAAAAGAAAAGAAAA